rnacentral:rRNA from 1 species
UACGUAGGGUGCAGGCGUUAAUCGGAAUUACUGGGCGUAAAGCGCGCGUAGGCGGCGACCUUUGUCAGAGGUGAAAUCCCGAGGCUCAACUUCGGAAUUGCCUUUGAAACGGGGUUGCUUGAGUCCGAGAGAGGAUGGCGGAAUUCCUAGUGUAGAGGUGAAAUUCGUAGAUAUUAGGAAGAACACCGGUGGCGAAGGCGGCCAUCUGGCUCGGUACUGACGCUCAGGCGCGAAAGCGUGGGGAGCAAACAGG